rnacentral:rRNA from 1 species
UGCCAGCCGCCGCGGUAAUACGAAGGGGGCUAGCGUUGUUCGGAAUUACUGGGCGUAAAGGGCGCGUAGGCGGACUGGUCAGUUUGGUGUGAAAGCCCGGGGCUUAACCUCGGAACUGCAUUGAAUACUGCCAGUCUAGAAUCCCGGAGGGGAGUGUGGAAUUUCUAGUGUAGAGGUGGAAUUCGUAGAUAUUAGAAAGAACACCGGUGGCGAAGGCGACACUCUGGACGGGUAUUGACGCUGAGGCGCGAAAGCGUGGGGAGCAAACAGGAUUAGAUA